rnacentral:rRNA from 1 species
CGGCGGACGGGUGAGUAACGCGUGGGUAACCUGCCUCAUACAGGGGGAUAACAGUUGGAAACGGCUGCUAAUACCGCAUAAGCGCACAGUACCGCAUGGUACGGUGUGAAAAACUCCGGUGGUAUGAGAUGGACCCGCGUCUGAUUAGGUAGUUGGUGGGGUAACGGCCUACCAAGCCGACGAUCAGUAGCCGAUCUGAGAGGGUGACCGGCCACAUUGGGACUGAGACACGGCCCAA